CCUACGGGGGGCUGCAGUGAGGAAUAUUGGUCAAUGGACGAGAGUCUGAACCAGCCAAGUAGCGUGAAGGAUGACUGCCCUAGGGGUUGUAAACUUUUUUUAUAUGGGAGUAAAAUGUUCCACGUGUGGGCUUGUGUAUUUACCAUAUGAAUAAGGAUCGGCUAGCUCAGGUCCAGCAGCCGCGGUAAUACGGAGGAUCCGAGGGUUAUCCGGAUUGGUUGGGUUUAAAGGGAGCGUAGGUGGAUGGUUAAGUCAGUUGUGAAAGUUUGGGGAUCAACCGUAAAAUUGAAGUUGAAACUGGCAGUGUUGAGUACAGUAGAGGUGGGCGGAAUUCGUGGUGUAGCGGUGAAAUGCUUAGAUAUCUCGAAGAACUCCGAUUGCGAAGGCAGCUCACUGGACUGCAACUGACACUGAGGCUCGAAAGUGUGGGUAUCAAACAGGAUUAGAUACCCGAGUAGUC
rnacentral:rRNA from 1 species